GCUCAGUUGGUAAAGCACAAAGCUCUUAACCUUGUGGACGUGGGUUUGAGCCCCAU
rnacentral:tRNA from 1 species